rnacentral:rRNA from 1 species
GGGUCAGUAGGUUGGUCGUGCCACCGGCACGUUCUGGUCUCACUGAUUCCUCCUUCCUGAAGAACCGUAAUGCCAUUAAUUUGGUGUUGCGGGGAAACAGGACUGUUACUUUGAAAAAAUUAGAGUGUUUAAAGCAAGCUAACGCUUGAAUACACUAGCAUGGAAUAAUGAAAUAGGACGAUCGAUCCUAUUUUGUUGGUUUCUAGGAUUGACGUA